rnacentral:rRNA from 1 species
GACGAACGCUGGCGGCGUGCUUAACACAUGCAAGUCGAACGGAAAGGCCCUGCUUUUGUGGGGUGCUCGAGUGGCGAACGGGUGAGUAACACGUGAGUAACCUGCCCUUGACUUUGGGAUAACUUCAGGAAACUGGGGCUCAUACCGGAUAGGAGCUCCUGCUGCAUGGUGGGGGUUGGAAAGUUUCGGCGGUUGGGGAUGGACUCGCGGCUUAUCAGCUUGUUGGUGGGGUAGUGGCUUACCAAGGCUUUGACGGCUAGCCGGCCUGAGAGGGUGACCGGCCACAUGGGGACUGAGAUACGGCCCAGACUCCUACGGGAGGCAGCAGUGGGGAAUAUUGCACAAUGGGCGGAAGCCUGAUGCAGCAACGCCGCGUGCGGGAUGACGGCCUUCGGGUUGUAAACCGCUUUCGCCUGUGACGAAGCGUGAGUGACGGUAAUGGGUAAAGAAGCACCGGCUAACUACGUG